rnacentral:rRNA from 1 species
CGUAAUAGCUCACUGGUCGAGUCGGCCUGCGCGGAAGAUGUAACGGGGCUAAACCAUGCACCGAAGCUGCGGCAGCGACACUGUGUGUUGUUGGGUAGGGGAGCGUUCUGUAAGCCUGUGAAGGUGUACUGUGAGGUAUGCUGGAGGUAUCAGAAGUGCGAAUGCUGACAUAAGUAACGAUAAAGCGGGUGAAAAGCCCGCUCGCCGGAA